UACGGAGGGUGCAAGCGUUAUCCGGAUUUACUGGGCUUAAAGGGUGUGUAGGCGGACUUUUAAGUCAGCUGUGAAAUCUCCGGGCUCAACCCGGAAACUGCCAUUGAUACUAUUAGUCUUGAAUGUUGUUGAGGUGGGCGGAACGGGUCAUGUAGCGGUGAAAUGCAUAGAUAUGACCCGGAACACCGAUUGCGAAGGCAGCCCACUAAGCAACUAUUGACGCUGAGGCACGAAAGCGUGGGGAUCAAACAGG
rnacentral:rRNA from 1 species